rnacentral:rRNA from 1 species
AAUGAACGCUGGCGGCGCGCCUAAUACAUGCAAGUCGAGCGAGAAGACGUAGCAAUACGUUUGUAAAGCGGCGAACGGGUGAGGAAUACAUGGGUAACCUACCCUCGAGUGGGGAAUAACUAGCCGAAAGGUUAGCUAAUACCGCGUACGCUCCUUGGACUUCGGUUCAGGGAGGAAAGCGAUACCGUGGGUAUCGCGCUCUUGGUUGGGCUCAUGUCCUAUCAGCUUGUUGGUGAGGUAACGGCUCACCAAGGCUUCGACGGGUAGCUGGUCUGAGAGGACGAUCAGCCACACUGGCACUGCGACACGGGCCAGACUCCUACGGGAGGCAGCAGUAAGGAAUAUUGCGCAAUGGGCGAAAGCCUGACGCAGCAACGCCGCGUGAGUGAAGAAGGCCUU